UGCGUUCCAUUAGAUUGUAGGCGGGGUAACGGCCCACCAAGCCUUCGAUGGAUAGGGGUUCUGAGAGGAAGGUCCCCCACAUUGGAACUGAGACACGGUCCAAACUCCUACGGGAGGCAGCAGUGAGGAAUAUUGGUCAAUGGACGAGAGUCUGAACCAGCCAAGUAGCGUGAAGGAUGACUGCCCUAUGGGUUGUGAACUUCUUUUAUACGGGAAUAAAGUGAGGCACGUAUACCUUUUUGUAUGUACCGUAUGAAUAAGGAUCGGCUAACUCCGUGCCAGCAGCCGCGGUAAUACGGAGGAUCCGAGCGUUAUCCGGAUUUAUUGGGUUUAAAGGGAGCGUAGACGGACGCUUAAGUCAGUUGUGAAAGUUUGCGGCUCAACCGUAAAAUUGCAGUUGAUACUGGAUGUCUUGAGUACAGUAGAGGCAGGCGGAAUUCGUGGUGUAGCGGUGAAAUGCUUAGAUAUCACGAAGAACUCCGAUUGCGAAGGCAGCCUG
rnacentral:rRNA from 1 species